rnacentral:misc_RNA from 1 species
GAUUAAGAACGUAGCGAAAUGCGAUAAGUAAUGUGAAUUGCAGAAUUCAGUGAAUCAUCGAAUCUUUGAACGCACAUUGCGCCCGCCAGUAUUCUGGCGGGCAUGCCUGUUCGAGCGUCAUUACAACCCUCAGGCCCCCGGGCCUGGCGUUGGGGAUCGGCGGAAGCCCCCUGCGGGCACAACGCCGUCCCCCAAAUACAGUGGCGGUCCCGCCGCAGCUUCCAUUGCGUAGUAGCUAACACCUCGCAACUGGAGAGCGGCGCGACCACGCCGUAAAACACCCAACUUCUGAAUGUUGACCUCGAAUCAGGUAGGAAUACCCGCUGAACUUAAGCAUAUCAAUAAGCGGAGGA